GUAUCCAUCUAACCCUUAAAGAUAACGUAACACAAGAAAACAGGACAGAACAGAACAGAAUAGCACUACUGAUGUUUUGACUAGCUAGCGUGUCUUCUCCUCUUUCUCUCUUUCCUCCUCUCUCACCAGUAUUAAUCCAUCUCUCUCACCAAGAUCUCUGGGAAGCUGGAAAUAUAAAAUUAGGAGAGGCCCAUAAAAGAUAAACCUACAUUUAUUCCAUACGUAACGGAAUCUAGCUCCCUUCCCAUCCUAUAUAAACCACAGCCUUCCCUUCAGAUCCUCGCACAUCAAAUCAAAAGCCCUCCUCCUUUUCUAAUGGAACAGUACUCUCCACUGCCCAAUAUUUGCUAGUACUGUCUACUCCUCUCCUCUUCCUCCCUCCGGGGGCAUUUAUUCCUACCCAGAAUUAGGGUUUCCAACCUUCCAGAGAGAAGGAAGAAGUAGGAGUAAAAAAUAAAACACUCUCCCCUUCACUGGCUCACUCAUAACCAGCCUGUUUCCAUCUGGGAAAUUUCCAGACUGAGUUUUCUGGGCUAAAUCUCACAAAGGGUUUGGUUAAAAUUUCUUGAUUUCCAUCUGGGAUGGUUGCAGAGGGUAGUCUUCUGGAGUAAAUCUACAAGGGUUUUGAGUUUCAUUGGGUAAGGGGGUGGUGACAGAAGAGAGUGAGCACACAUGGUUGGUUUUCUUGCAUGAUUAAUUGUGUCCCCGUGCUUGAAGCUAUGCGUGCUCACUCUCUAUCUGUCACCCCGCACCUCUUCUCUCUCUCCUUUUUGCAUGUAUUCGAUUCCUUUUGAUUCGUUAUCUGCUGCUGGAAUUGAUGUUCAUGGAGUUUUUCUUUCUCCUUAAUGAACACAUCCAUCCAGGAAAGUUGACUUUGUUCGGCUCGGGAGUCAGUGGUAGAGAGCGGCGACGAAGAUAAGAUGCUUUUUGUGCUGGAAAGAUAAAAGGGUUUUCCAUCAGAUGAGGAUAUGUGAUCCCUCCCGGACGUCGGCUGCAGAACGACUUUUAGCUUCUCCAGUAGGUGAGGUCGGUUGAAUAUAGUACAACAGAAAGUGGUGCAUUCAUCAUGGACCCAAAAAGGAUAAAGCACAAACGCUAAACGCCAAGGCGAUAGCCCUUUCCGCAGAUAAAAUUGACUCGGUACGUACCUUUAAUUGUGGGGUUGCAUUUUGAUCUGAUGGUACUUGGUAGUGGGAUGAUGAAUGCAUUUGGAAAAUGAUUUCUUCCCUUUUUCUUGUUUUUGUACUAUCUUGUGGUACAAUUAAGCGAUAGUACUAGCACCCCGAUUAGCCAACGGAAUUAAUUAACAGUACACUAGCAUCAUUUUGUCCUAAUCCAAGUUAUUCGGUCAUUUUCAUUUGAUUGAAGUUGGUUCCUACACGUAGUUUCCACGUUUGUCAAAUUCAUUUUGUCUAACCUGAGCUGACCAUUUUCCAUUUUUUGUUCUCUCUCUCUCUCUGUCUCUCUGAUGUAAUCAAGCCUGUUAAGUAUUGAUCUUAUGUCUUUCGAGUUUCAACCUUUCUCCAAUACUUCAUUUCAUCACUAAUCUUUUUGCUAGCUAGCAUAAGGUAGCACUUGCACAUAUUACCUUAUUGGGUACUCCAUUGUGGCUUGAAAUAGAUUAAUUGUGACACAAACUAGUAUUUUCAUGGUUUUUAGUACUAUUUCAUGUUAUAAAGAUUUGCAAAUAAUAUAGUACUCAUCAAGCCAUAAAGCUCGGGUUACAAGUUGUUUCUUAGAGACUUAGCUACUUUCGGUUUCUUGGAAAUUUGGUUUAUCUGACCAGACAUGGCUCCAACCCCUACUUAAUUAGGUGUUGCAAUAUCGAUGCCGCAAUUUUGUUGGUACCUCUGGCGGCUUCUCUUUCCAAUUGAAGCAUGCUCAGAUAAAUCAGAAAUUUAUUUUGGAUAAGAUUGCCAGCAACGCAUACUUUGGAGGGUUGAUUAUCUCACCAACUUGCUAUCCUCUCUCAGGCCAUUCCACUAUUCAGAUUUCGGCUUUGAGGGAAAAAUUGAAACUUGGUUGUUCUUUUUUCUUCUCAUGCUUGCAAAGAUAGUAAUUUCAUCAUGAUACACUUAGCAUUAUGGUAUGAUGAUAAAGAACUUGGAAUAUGCAUGGACAAUUAGGUUUCUUAUGAUCCUGAAGUGAUGAGAGGUUUGACUGCAUAGAUAAUAAUACAAUGUACCAGUACUAUUUUGUUUGUUGACCAUACUACUAUAGCCAAAGUGAAGUGCCCAAUUUAUGUGAGUUUGGCCAUUUCUUUUGUCUAGCACGUCCUAAAUCUUGUAUGUUAAUGGAGAAGCUGUUUGUCAAAUACUGUAACUAUCAAAAACAUUUCGUUUAAAUGUCCUUUUUCUAUUAAUAACUUUUUUUUGGUUUCCUAGGUUUCUUGUCAUAAUUCAUGAAUACAUCCUUAAUUUCCUUGAUAUAUAUCUCCAUAUUGUAUGCUCACUUGCGGUCACGCACUGAAAUAGGUUUGUAUCCAUAUCUCAUGCUCAAGGCUGAUACAUAUAUCUAUGCCUUGGAAUAGGUACAAUUGGGAGUAGAAUUUCCAUUGUCCCAUGAGACAUUGAAGAGCAAUUGAAAGAUUUUCAUUCACACUUUGUGUUUGGAGUAUAAAGACGUUGUGAAUUGGAAAAGACAAUCUGGACAAACGGGUUCCAUCUUUUGCUUGAUAUAAGUAGGAACCAGCUCCUGAUACCUUUUCCAAAAAACUAUUUGCUAGGUUCUAAUAAUCUUCUUUGUCUGGUGAAAGAGCCCUUUCAUAAAAAGCAAAGUAAUAUACCAAGGCAGAAAAUAUAUCCCCCCGCCUGGAGAAAAAGGAAAUGGCAUGAUCUCGUGUAGUCCUUGUUAAUGAGAUAUUCUUACCAUUAGGAAAAUAAUUUGUUGUAUUUUUUGCUUAUAAACGAGUGAAGGUGUCAUGAUGCUAGCCCACAUGCAAACAAAUCGAUGGUGCCCUUUUAGCUGCUGCAGAAUCUGUUAAAAUAAGCUCAGUUCUGGUUUAUGGAUCUGUCAUCAAGUUAGGGGACCAUAUUCAUCUUUUCAGAUGCGAAGUAUACUACUCUCUUCUAAUGUGGCUAUAACGUGGUGGAGCUGCAGUUUAAUCUUUUCAUCAAUCUUAUAUCAAUUGAAGCCAACUGCAACUGCAUGGUCCUGUACACGGCUGGAUCAUCGAACUUUGAUUCCUUUCCUACAAAAUGAGAUGCAUCUUUUUCUAAAUAAAUAUAUUUUGAUAGUACUUUCGUUCGUUGGGAAAAUUCUUUAUCUUAAUCAGUUGGUUGUGAUGUUUUAAUUACACAAGGAUCAAGAAUUAGGUAUGCAAUUUGCCUUGGUACACUGAUGCCACUGUCCUCUAAUCAGAUCUGCAGAUGUUUCCUACCCUUAUGCAGGAGGAAGUCAUUUUUUACUACUCUCUCUGGGAUUCUGUAAGGCAUCACUACAGAAGAUGAUUAGAAUACAUUCUUUGUUUUGUCCA